UUAACAAUUUAGUGCUUUUAUCACAGUGUUGAAACUGUUAGCGGAUUGUCUUGAAGUGAUUGUAGCAUAGCAGGAGACCAACAUCAUGUCCAAAUGUGUCAGAGAAUGUCUGCAUGUGAUCUUGUUGUCAUGCAGUAAUGACCUAAUGGGCUUUUAAUGCUGAAACUGUUGCAGAAGUUUCCCCACAUGGUGCACAGAGACAGGAAGGAAGUGUCCAGUGUCCCACAUAAUAAUGAUAAUUCGUCAAAGAAUACAAACAAUAGCUUAUAUUAACAAUAUAAGUCCUUCCUUUGCGCGCAUUUCCAAUUAAUUUCAAUAUAAAUGCAUGACAGUCUUUAUGCACUCAAGUCACAUUUCCGGAUGAGGCCUUGGUCAGCAGGCUGUCGUUAAAACUGGCCGUUCCGCGUGCGCGCAUACCAGCCCAGACACGCGCAGAUCCCCACGAGCGUCACUGUCGCGCCCAGCAGCAAAGCCGCCGCGUCUCCUCCGUCAAACGCCUCGGCGGCCUGGACGAGCGUCAGGAGGAAAAGGCAGAGCAUCAUGCGAGAGUUUUGGUCUUUGGGAGCCAUGUUGUUGGUCGCCUGUGAGGAGGGAAGCGCAAGAGCAAUGACGACGCGUCAGAGCUCAGAUGCUGGCCGAGACGAUGGGCGACGGGUCUCAUGACUCAUGGCUGGACCAGUGAAAGAGAGACACUGUGAAAUGACUUCAAGGUGAAGGAAGCUCACUGCCCUAGUUCCAAUCUGGUGUGCUGUCAAAU
ensembl:lncRNA